AGCGAACGCUGGCGGCAGGCUUAACACAUGCAAGUCGAGCGGGCCUUUCGGGGUCAGCGGCGGACGGGUGAGUAACGCGGGGGAACGUGCCCUCUGGUUCGGAAUAACUCAGGGAAACUUGAGCUAAUACCGGAUACGCCCUUUUGGGGAAAGGCUUGCUGCCGGAGGAUCGGGCCGCGUCUGAUUAGCUAGUUGGUGAGGUAACGGCUCACCAAGGCGACGAUCAGUAGCUGGUCUGAGAGGAUGAUCAGCCACACUGGGACUGAGACACGGCCCAGACUCCUACGGGAGGCAGCAGUGGGGAAUAUUGGACAAUGGGCGCAAGCCUGAUCCAGCCGUGCCGCGUGAGUGAUGAAGGCCUUAGGGUUGUAAAGCUCUUUUAUCCGGGACGAUAAUGACGGUACCGGAGGAAUAAGCCCCGGCUAACUUCGUG
rnacentral:rRNA from 1 species